UACGAAGGUUGCAAGCGUUACUCGGAAUUACUAGGCGUAAAGGGCAGGUAGGUGGUUUUGUAAGUCUGUUGUGAAAGCUCCUGGCUUAACUGGGAGAGGUCAAUAGAUACUGCAGAACUUGAGUAUAGGAGAGGUUACUGGAAUUCCCGGUGUAGCGGUGAAAUGCGCAGAGAUCGGGAGGAACACCAAUGGCGAAAGCAGGUAACUGGACUAUUACUGACGCUAAGCUGCGAAAGCUAGGGGAGCAAACAGG
rnacentral:rRNA from 1 species